UACGUAGGGUGCAAGCGUUGUCCGGAAUUAUUGGGCGUAAAGAGCUCGUAGGCGGUUUGUCGCGUCGGCUGUGAAAACCUGGGGCUCAACCCCGGGCCUGCAGUCGAUACGAGCAAACUAGAGUGUUGCAGGGGAGACUGGAAUUCCUGGUGUAGCGGUGAAAUGCGCAGAUAUCAGGAGGAACACCGGUGGCGAAGGCAGGUCUCUGGGCCGAUACUGACGCUGAGGAGCGAAAGCGUGGGGAGCGAACAGG
rnacentral:rRNA from 1 species